GAUGAACGCCGGCGGUGUGCCUAAUACAUGCAAGUUGUACGCACUGGCCCAACUGAUUGAUGGUGCUUGCACCUGAUUGACGAUGGAUUACCAGUGAGUGGCGGACGGGUGAGUAACACGUAGGUAACCUGCCCCGGAGUGGGGGAUAACAUUUGGAAACAGAUGUUAAUACCGCAUAACAACAAAAGCCACAUGGCUUUUGUUUGAAAGAUGGCUUUGGCUAUCACUCUGGGAUGGACCUGCGGUGCAUUAGAUAGUUGGUAAGGUAACGGCUUACCAAGGCGAUGAUGCAUAGCCGAGUUGAGAGACUGAUCGGCCACAAUGGAACUGAGACACGGUCCAUACUCCUACGGGAGGCAGCAGUAGGGAAUUUUCCACAAUGGGCGCAAGCCUGAUGGAGCAACACCGCGUGAGUGAAGAAGGGUUUCGGCUCGUAAAGCUCUGUUGUUGGAGAAGAACGUGCGUGAGAGUAACUGUUCACGCAGUGACGGU
rnacentral:rRNA from 1 species